rnacentral:rRNA from 1 species
CUACGGAGGGUGCAAGCGUUAAUCGGAAUUACUGGGCGCAAAGCGUACGUAGGCGGUUAUUUAAGUCAGAUGUGAAAGCCCCGGGCUUAACUUGGGAACUGCAUUUGAAACUGGGUAACUAGAGUUUAGUAGAGGGGAGUGGAAUUUCAGGUGUAGCGGUGAAAUGCGUAGAGAUCUGAAGGAACACCAGUGGCGAAGGCGACUCCCUGGACUAAAACUGACGCUGAGGUACGAAAGCGUGGGUAGCAAACAGGAUUAGAAACCCUAGUAGUCC